GCUGGGUGUGGUGGCGGGCACCUGUAGUCCCAGCUACUUGGGAGGCUGAGGCAGGAGAACUGCUUGAACCCAGGAGGUGGGGGUUGCAGUGAGCCGAGAUUGUGCCACUGCACUCCAGCCUGGGCGACAGAGCGAGACUCUGUCUCCA
rnacentral:SRP_RNA from 1 species